AGUAAGCAUUGGACACAAAAUGGUUUAGGCAAAUAAUGAUGAACAAAAAUGGUCAGUCUGUGUUCCUGCUGACCCAGCACAGUGGGGACGCUGUGUAGGACAUGACCUUUGGGGGAAAGGACACAAGAACUCAGCGUGGGGGAUCCAGAAAAGAAGUCGCACGUAUUGAAGCCAGUAACGCCAAGCCAGUGAAUUCUCCUUGACGAGAAAGACCCACUUACUCUGCAGAAGAGAUAUAUGACAGCUGACAAUCCCUGGAGGAGAAUCUUUCUACUAAAUUGGUAAGGGAUGCUAAGCAAAUGAUGUGGACUCAGGAAACAACGCAUUUCAUGAUAUACGGUUGCCUCUCAAGGUGAAUUCGAGACCCCUCUUGAAUUACAAAGAGUUGAAAACAUUCAAGUACGGAAUAAACUAUUACUGCGAAUACGCUCAUAUGACACAAGAACAAUCUCUGAGCUUCUUUGAGGAUGUCCAGAUGACUGCUGACUGCACUAAUUGCAUCAAUCGUGUAUCCAUACAGGUUCUUUCUAUAAAAUAGUGGUCGCUAGUUAUGAGGCGUUAAGCCUUCAUGGAUAUAAACAGACUAUUCCACCUAAGUGAUCUGGCAGAAGCUUAGUUUUCUACCACAACAUCCACCGUCCUCCCUCCCUCCCUUCCUAGCUGGUCAGAAAAGCUACUCAGAAUAAAGACUACAUUUCCCAGCCAUCUUUGCAGCUAGGUUUAUCCACCUGACUAAAUUCCACCGGCAUCUAUUCAACGAAGACGAAUCCUGGAAUGGGGAUGGAAAUGAUGGCUCAUGUCUUAGCAAACUACCAGUACGUCUACUAGAACCGGAACUGAUCCGAGAGGACAGGGAAGUCAGUGUGGGCGGCUCUAAGGAGCCUCCCUCUCUACAGCUGCGGCUCAGAGGAUUACGGCGCUUCAUCCACAAGGCAACAUUGCACAAGUAGCUUUUGAACAAAAGUCAUGGAUACUAUUAAUGAUAUGUUCCCACACACAUUUAGUGUCGUCUCAAAAUUCACGCUGUCAACUGUCUCUAGGAAUCAUUUCCAUCUGAGAACAGACCACACAAAGGUUUAGUGCAACUAGGGACUAAACACCAGUCAUCUCCAGGACUUGACUUCAUCAUUUGCCUGUUCACCAUUGUAUCCCUAGAAUCUGUAACAACAACCAGAAGGUACUCAAUAAAUAUUUAAUCAAUGAACAAA
ensembl:lncRNA LINC02436 long intergenic non-protein coding RNA 2436